GUUCUGAAAGAAAACAAAGUAGAUAUUAAAUCAAAUUUCUAUUUUCUUGACUUCAGACCAG
rnacentral:pre_miRNA from 1 species